GUCCUUUUUCUACCGUCUUCAACCCAUCGUUUGAGGCCAGCGGCUCGUGAAUGAGUUUGUUAGAGAGGGAGAGAGUAAUUAGGAGGUAGCUGGAGAGAGUAUUGCAUUGGUUAGUUAGUUAGUUUGGAUCUUGUAGCAGAGUUUGUUAUGCUACAUAUGGCUGCACCUUCAGCCUUUGAAAUAAGCAGAUUUCCCACCAAUGCAAAUUUCACUUUUCUCUUGUUCUAAGCUCGCAUAGCAGAGCCUCAAUUUUCUCACCAAGAAAUCGGCAGCUCAGAACAGAAUUCAACAAUUGCUUCUCACACUCUGACAAAACGAGAACUUCCCCCCUUUCUCUCUCGCGCGUUUUUGUUUGUCUUCUCUCAUUUCUUGAACACACUCUAGCUGUUCGACGAAAUGCCUGAAUCAUGCACUCCCUCACCACCGCACCCUCUUUUUCUUCCCUUUCUUUCCAUUUCUUUCCCCACCGCCACCGCCACCGCCACACCCUCUUUCAGUUAACUCCUCCCUUCAUCUUCUCCUUCCGGUACACCACCGCCAAGAGGCUCCAGGUGCAGCUCCACGUGCAGGAGGAGAAAUCACUGAGGAAGAAAAAAGGGAGGAAGGGUCUUUGCUGCAAGGAGGACUUGGGUGGGGCCGAAGAGGAAGUGUUCUCUCCUCUGGAAGCCGAGCUUCUUGAGUUCAUGCGGAGCUCCGAGAAGCCAUCAGCAUUCCCGACGAGGGAGGAGCUGGUGGCUGCUGGGAGGGUUGAUUUGGUUGAUGCCAUUGUUACCAAAGAAUGCUAUCUUGUUUAUGGCUGGGAUUUGGAUCGUGGGUCACGUGAAAGUUACGAUUUUGAUGGUGCUUCUGUUGCUAAAAUUCAUGGUCAAGCAUCAAGGGCUUCUGGGUUUUCUUCCUCUUCUGAUGGCGAUAACUCUUGCCAGCAAGCCAAAUCAAUGGAUAUCGAAGUUGAGGAGUCAGGCAUUGAGGGUAUAUUGAAUCGGCUGGAGAGACAGAGAAGUAAUUCCUUUGGACUUGGGUUAACAGAGAAAGAUGAAAGUGAUCCUUCCAGAAACAGUGAAGAUAAAGAUACAGUAAGUACUCUUCAUGGUGGUUUGAUCAAACAUGAUCAGCACAGAUCUCAAUUAGGUAGUGAAAAUUUAAGAAACUCCCUUGAGCCUGACACAUGGAGAAGUUGGAUUAUCCAGAGGAAUGGUUCUUCAAAUGUAGAUUUUGAAGCUGCUGAAAUUGUUCCUAGUGAAAUUAGGGAGUCUUCUGCUGAACCUGCAAAUAGAGAAGCAGGGUUCAGUUCUCUUGAUGGGGAUGCAAAUCACAAUGAUAUCAAAUCCCGUAUCCGGAAUCUGGAAUCAGAGCUAUCCUCUGCACUUCAUUCGUUGAGAUCUAAAGCUGAUUAUGUUACAAUGCAGAUGGAUCAGAAGAACUCAUCAGAUGAUCUAGCAGAGUAUUCCGAUGCUUGGGAAUUCCAAGAAACUGAGAUAAUGAAUGCUCAGGACAGACUGCGCUCCAUACGUGCUAAGUUGUCAGUAUUAGAAGGAAAGAUGUCAUUGGCAAUAAUGGAUGCACACAAAAUUGUUGAAGAGAAGCAGAAGAGGAUUAAUAAUGCUCACAGAGCCUUGCAAAUUCUGAAGAUGAUUUGUGUAGUUUGGCAUAAUCCAGCUUCACAAGUAUAUUUAGUAGGAUCCUUUGAUGGUUGGUCCACCCAGGUCAGACCUCUUUCAUGAUUUUGGUUAGAUAAUGAAUAUUUUCUCAAGAUGGGUUUCAUCAUGAAUCUGACCUUGAGAAGUAGUACCAUGUGUAUUUGAAAAUUUUAUGCCUAGCAUGUGGAUGCGGAUGAGGGGUUGUGCACAACCUUGAAGCCCUCGAAAAUGGAUUCCUGGUUGUUUUACUUUAAAAAAGAAAUACUAUGGAAAGAAGAAAUAGAAAUUAAGGACAACUGCGAAUGUGUGGACCUAAUUUAAGAAAAAUGGAGAAAUCAAAUACUGGCAUGUUUUCUUUGAACUUGCAGCUAUAUCCUGGAAAAUACGAGAUCAAAUUCAUUGUUGAUGGUGAAUGGAAAGUUGAUCCACUGCGGCCUAUUGUUGUUACCAAUAAAGGUUAUGAGAACAAUCUCCUCGAGGUUCCUGAUUAGUGUAUGAUAGUGUGUGCGAUUGUGCUGAGAUAGAAUCUGUAGAUCAGAAAAGAGUAUCACAGGCAUUAGGCUAGUACCCGAAAUCUUUUUUGCUUCUCAUUUCUUCACAGGAAAAACCAAAUGUUUGGGGUGGUUUCAAACAUUUAGGACGGUAUAUUUUCCUUUUUACACUCAUGUACAGAGUAGUGAGUAGUUCAUUGAUUCUUUUAACAUGUAACACAAACAUGUAUGGAUAUAUUGACUGAUGUCGAAAUUAAUCCCAUUCAAUUCUUUUUCCACAUGUUCAUGUAAUCUUUAAGUGGUUUCACACCCUUUCUGUGUAUAAUGUGAUUCUCAUGCUCUUUGAUUAUACGUGGUAGAUGAAAAUGAUCCAAAUAAGCAUGGUUUCACGGUCAAAGAAUCUUAAGUAUUCAUGUUUUUGAGACCGGGUUUGAUCUCUUUU